AUUGAACGCUGGCGGAAUGCUUUACACGUGCAAGUCGAACGGCAGCACGGACUUCGGUCUGGUGGCGAGUGGCGAACGGGUGAGUAAUGUAUCGGAACGUGCCCAGUCGUGGGGGACAACGUAGUGAAAAUUACGCUAAUACCGCAUACGAUCUAUGGAUGAAAGCGGGGGAUCGCAAGACCUCGCGCGAUUGGAGCGGCCGAGAUCCGAUUAGGUCGUUGGGGGGGUAGAGGCCCACCAAGCCAACGAGCCGUAGCUGGUCUGAGAGGACGAGUAGCCAGACUGGAACUGAGACAGAGUCCAGACUCCAACGGGUGGCAGCAGGGGGGAAUUUUGGACAAUGGGCGAAAGCCUGAUCCAGCCAUUCCGCGUGCAGGAUGAAGGCCCUCGGGUUGUAAACUGCUUUUGUACAGAACGAAAAGGUUUCUACUACUACUAGGAGCUUAUGACGGUACUGUAAGAAUAAGCAUCGGCUAACUACGUGCCAGCCGCCGCAGUAA
rnacentral:rRNA from 1 species